rnacentral:rRNA from 1 species
UACGGAGGGAGCUAGCGUUAUUCGGAAUUACUGGGCGUAAAGCGCACGUAGGCGGCUUUGUAAGUAAGAGGUGAAAGCCCGGAGCUCAACUCCGGAACUGCCUUUUAGACCGCAUCGCUUGAAUCCAGGAGAGGUGAGUGGAAUUCCGAGUGUAGAGGUGAAAUUCGUAGAUAUUCGGAAGAACACCAGUGGCGAAGGCGGCUCACUGGACUGGUAUUGACGCUGAGGUGCGAAAGCGUGGGGAGCAAACAGG